UGAGUUGCUCUGCAGCAUCUUGUGCAAAGCCUAACCUGACUCCUCAGCCUCCGGACUGGGGAGAGCUGACUAUUCAAGAUAUCUGCAUGGUUCAGAGGUGCGAGUCCCAUGAUUUAAAUCAGAGUCGCACAGCAAAAUGCAUCAAAUGCUUUCAGCACUGAAAUAGCAGGGGUGAAGCCAUCACACGUGCCUUAUUUUCCUUUAUCAGUUUGGUUCGUGUGCAGCAUGAACAUCAACCUGGGACUCUGCUCACCGUGGCUUCCCCAAGCCUUCACGGAAGGAAUAAACCUCAGCCUAAGAGCACAGCCCGGAUUAGGAGUAGCACCUCGAUUCCUCAGUGCUUYUGUGCUGCAGAAACUGCAAGUGAAAGCUGUCUGGUGAGGUCAGGGUGCUGUGCAUCACCUCCUCAGGAAAGUGCCUUUGCUGUGAAAAGGAAGGAAAUAAGAACACUAAGUGCUGCAGCACACUGCAACAACCUCUGCCAGAGAAGUCUCCAGAUGUGAUGACGAACAGCAGUGCUGUGUCUCUGAGGGUGCUCUUGUCCCUGUCAACCGGUGAAAUCUUGGUAGAGCUGCAUAACUUGACGCACAUGCGUGGAAAGGGUGUGCACAGCUCCAAGGGACACACAGGGAGCAGCAGUGCAGAAUUCCUCACAUCCCAUCCAAGCAGAAAUCUUUGCAGUGGCUGUUUUUGCUGGCAUCUGCUUUCCCUGUUAACUUGUGUGSAUGUCAGCGAGAUUGUUCGGAUAAAGAUAUUUCCAACUUGGAUAAACACCGAGAAGUGGAGUUGCUAAUCCAGAGUGAACCAUUCCUAGAAGGUUCAGGGAAUUGCUGUGCUGUCUACAUUUAAAUUGGAAGCUUUACAUGAGGGUUGCACCUCUGGAGCUCCACUGAUUCACCUGGGAUGGCUGGAGAUGUUUCCAGCUCCUGUUUUCUGGACCAGAGGGACAGUGAGAGCCCCACACGGCCCAUCUGAGCUGCAGUGUCACCCUGUCCUGCCUUGUGCAGAGCACAGAGAUCUCUGGAAGUGAAUAAAUUAGGCAGCAUUUGCCCUUUGGUGAGGAAGGACAAGAGCCUAAUUUAGAUCUACAAAGCUAAGCAGUGAAACCAAAGCCAUCCUUGGAGAACAAACUUGUCUGGAGAGAAGUGCUUCUGUUCUCUAAUUUAAAAUCUAUCUUCUUGGAUCUCAAGGGAAGCUAAGGCUGCCUCUUUGCUCCUUCUGUGUUCUUUACAAUAAUGUCUUGCAUUUACAAAKAAGAAGCUGAGGUUCAUUUGAUUUGUAACAAGAAGUCUCCGACAGUUGUAGGCCUGCCUGCUGUAAUGAGGUCUUAACUUACUGAUUUGCUGCCCUUCCAUUUUCAGAGAGUGGCACAUUUUGUUUGCUUUUAGCAGGCCAGAAUCACAAUUUCCUUGUUGACUUAAUAAUAAUGAGUCUUGUUCAGAUACCCACAAGACAUGUCUGGCUGACUGGGGAAGAAACAAGAAAUGGAGAAAAUACAGAGUAAAAGAAGUGCCUGGAUUAGAGCAACUUCUCACCAAGCAUCACUUGCCAGAAAGACCAUCACCACAUCAUGSAGAGAGGUGGGAACCCACCAGGAUAUAAAGCAACGACAAGGUGAUGAGAGAAUUCCCCCUGCUCUGCAACAGCCCACCCAGACGUAAACACGAUCUGAGGUUCCCCGGAGCUUUAUUAUGGAGCUAAUCCUGCAAGGAGCUCAGCUCCCGGCUCAGUAAUGCRUGAGGAUUUCAAGGAAACACAAUAGCUUAAUGCAUUAGAGCUCUUGCGCUUGGAUUCAAAUCCUAAUCAGCUCACGGAGAGGAGGGAGAGCGAUUGCAUUAGCAGACGGGUCCUGCUGUGAGGCUCCGUGGCCGUGGAACAUCUCGGCAUGGUCGGAGCUGGGGGCUGCCAUGGGCCUGGAUGAUGGAGCACCCCAAGAAUCCCAACGAUUGUGUUCACAUAGAGUCAAAUCUCUUGGCUUGGUCUUUCUCCGUGGGGCUCCUGAUUUUCCACAGCGACAGAGCUCUGCAUGGGACCUGUGGAUUCAUCCUCUGUGGGAAUAUGGCUGGGCCUGGAUGUCAAGAGGAAGAUCUGCAGGCUCUGAAACCCAAUUUACCAACAUCCCUUGUUCUUCCACUGCCUGGAGCCAUCUCCACGAGAUUCCUCAGCAGAAGGUGAAAAUUAGCAGUGUCUGUGGGGGUCUGGGCUGCACCACCAGCUCCAGCCUGGUGCUUCAGCUGGAGGGAAGCUUCAUAUCUUGCCAUUAAAAGACCCAUGACCAUAUUUACUGCUUCGAAAGCAAGCACUACCUAUGCCUGCUUUUUUCAUCCAUCAUUUUGACUCCAUACAGGUGUCUCGGCUUCCACCCAUGGCCAGAAGGCUCCUCUGCAGUGCCUGGGUCURAUGCAGUUCAAAGUGUCUUUCGAUGCCUUCUGACACUCCACAGAAAAUCUGAAACACAUCAGAACAAACCA